UCCGAUCGGGCUCAUACUAACUGAUUCGGAACGUUUGGUGCGGUGAAAUGUAAAAUUUGUUCCGUUUAUAUAUUCUCUGCGGUAAACACAACGCAGUAGGCCUGGCCAUUUUGAUUUUUGUACACACUAAAAAAAUAUGAAUUCCACACAUAACGUAAAGAUAAAUCUAAUGUAAAAUGAAUUCAUUUAAUCAAUAAUGUGAUGUAAAAUUAUGGCUGGUUUCACGUACAUCGCCAGUUUUCGGCUAAAAUAUCAAAGCUGAACAUUAAAUAAUCAAAGCCGUAAGAAUCAUUUUCUUUGAACUUAAUUUUACGUCUCUUAUGAUGCACAUAGCUGGAGCGUGUAUUUCGAUGUAAUUUUAAGUGUACUUCAACUGAAAUUCACGUCAGUUCAUCUAACAGUGUAGCGAGCCACUCGAAAUGUCAGCCAUGUUGAAUCGCGAGACAAGUUGCUGUCGGAACGGUUGGAACAGCUCGACCGGUGCUACAAUUCCCGUAAAUUAGGGCAGAUCUGGCAAGUACCUGCCAACUGAAGCAACAAAAUCGCACUCAAAGGAUGCGAAAAACAAAACGGACGGAUUUUCCCUGCUGCAUUUCGUAAAAUUUCGAAAUCAUCAUGAGCAGCAGCUUGGAGGACCGAAAGAACUCUUCCGGCAGGCCUAUGUUCCGGUUGUCUGACUGGAACCUGCCUCAGAACGUUCUGAGACAUCUUCCGAAACAAGAAUCGGAAGAGGAGUGGGAUUUCAUCGUCGUCUUAGUCCCAACGAUUACGGUUCCGACUCACGGACACGGAACACCGUCAGCCGCCGUACGGACAAAGAUGGAUUGAGUUGAGCUUACGCCAACUAUUCGUCCACGGUAGCAUCCAGCAGGACUAGAGACCACCCAAUUUUCCACGAAACGGGCGUUCGUUGUUCCGCAGCUUACUUCACGGAUGGUCAAUCAGGUAAGCUGAAUUUUACCUUGAAUAACAGCAGUUGAAUGAAAAAAAGUGUUUUUCUAGGUUAAAUUGCAUCGCCAAUCAUCAUCCGGUUGGAUCCGGAACCGGCUUGAGAUUUUUAACAAAACGAUCUCCCCAGAAGUAGUUGCGUUCUCGGUGCCCAGCUUGGAUAAUAAGAGGCCACCAACAGCAAUCGGCGGAUGGUUCUUCCGAGACGGAACGUGGAAAGGCGUUUUCAGUGAAUCAAGUUAACUUUGUAUUUUCGGUAACUUCUUGAUCCAGUGCAAGUGUUGCUUGAAACAAGCGAAGAAAAUUAUCAAAUUCUAAAUGUAAAUGUAGCGUUUCUAGUCGUAAAAUAAAAAAAAACAAACUAAAAGUGACUCUUUUCAAUUUUCUAACCUAAAAACCCCAGCGAAUUUAUUUUGAAUUUAGCAAAAUUACAUCAACUUAAAAUUACAUCAUCUCUUAUUCAAUUAGCGUAAAAUUCAACGCUCAUAUGGGUGUCUCGUUAGGUUCAUGUAAUUUCCAAAUCUGAUGUAUAUUGUGUCAAAUCAGACGCUCCAGUUAUGUGCAUCAAAAAGACACAAAAUUACAUGAUUAUUUUUUGGUGUGUAAUACAUUUUCGAUUGUUUUUGGAUGAACUGCAAUGAUUAAUAUUGACAAGAAAAGCUUGGGGCGAUUUUCCAGCAUACUUUUAUCGGACUGGCUGCGUUUGUGUCAAAUUAGAUUAGAUUAGGGUGACCUAUGCGGUGUUAGAAUGGUAAAAAAAUGGCCUUUUUUGAUGAUUUUCGCAAAAUAAAAACACAUUUUAUCAAAAAAUCAGAACCACGCGCCAUUUCAACAGAUUUUAAAUCUCUUUGACGCAAAUGAACGGUGAUUUGUAAAUUUCAUAAAUCUAGCCUUACAUUUGGAAAGGUCGUUUGGAAAUUGAAAAUUCUGUUUUUAAGGGAUCAAAGAGUCUUUGUUUGAAAACAUUGUGGCGUUUCAUUCACAGGAUUCCGAGAUACGAUUUUUUGAAAAUAAAACCGGGGGUUUUCGACGCGCCGGGCGCAAACAGUAAAAUGGCGAAAACGUAAAAAAAAACUUUUCUUUUUUCAGGCUUUUUUAAAGACUACCAAAAGUUUCGUCUUUUAAUCGCGAAAAUUCGCACAUCUGCGCGCGGCCAAUCGUUUUUCGUUUUUCGAAUAGUGCUGUUUUUGUGGGGAAUCGGUUUAUACACAGUUUAAUUUGGGUAUUUCCUAAAAACAAUUUGAAUUUAAUCUAAAAUCAGUAUUAAAUGGCAGGAAUGUUUUACGGUUCUUUUGCUGAAAAAUUAUAGUUUUUUUUCAGUUAUAUUAACCUGCGAUCUUGUGAUGUGCCAACAAAUCUGCCAAAUUUGGCACGCCA